rnacentral:misc_RNA from 1 species
GAUGAAGGAACGUAGCGAACUGCGAUAAGUAAUGUGAAUUGCAGAAUUCAGUGAAUCAUCGAGUCUUUGAACGCACAUUGCGCCCCCUGGCAUUCCGGGGGGCAUGCCUGUCCGAGCGUCAUUGCUGCCCUUCAAGCCCGGCUUGUGUGUUGGGUCGUCGUCCCCCCCGGGGGACGGGCCCGAAAGGCAGCGGCGGCACCGCGUCCGGUCCUCGAGCGUAUGGGGCUUUGUCACCCGCUCGAUUAGGGCCGGCCGGGCGCCAGCCGGCGUCUCCAACCUUCUAUUUUACCAGGUUGACCUCGGAUCAGGUAGGGAUACCCGCUGAACUUAAGCAUAUCAAUAAGCGGAGGA